GCUGGGGUGGUGGAGCGGUCAAUCACAGCAGUCUGUAAAACUGUUGCCUUUAUGGCUACGAAGGUUCAAAUCCUUCCCCCAGCACCA
rnacentral:tRNA from 1 species